GAUGAACGCUAGCUACAGGCUUAACACAUGCAAGUCGAGGGGCAGCAUGAACAUAGCUUGCUAUGUUUGAUGGCGACCGGCGCACGGGUGCGUAACACGUAUCCAAUCUGCCCGUCACUCGGGGAUAGCCUUCUGAAAGGAAGAUUAAUACCCGAUGGGAUGCAUUUCCGGCAUCGGAGAUGCAUUAAAGAUUUUAUCGGUGACGGAUGAGGAUGCGUACGAUUAGCUAGUUGGCGGGGUAACGGCCCACCAAGGCGACGAUGCUUAGCUGAGCUGAGAGGCUAAACAGCCACACUGGGACUGAGACACGGCCCAGACUCCUACGGGAGGCAGCAGUGAGGGAUAUUGCACAAUGGGCGAAAGCCUGAUGCAGCAACGCCGCGUGAGGGAUGACGGUUUUCGGAUUGUAAACCUCUGUCUUCGGUGACGAAUAAAUGACGGUAGCCGGGGAGGAAGCCACGGCUAACUACGU
rnacentral:rRNA from 1 species